CACCAGCCCCUCGAGUGGUGUGGAUGAUUAUUUGGCCUAAAGCGUCCGUAGCCGGCCGGGUAAGUUUCCCGUUAAAUCCAACGUCUCAAGCGUUGGACUGCGGGAAAUACUGCCUGGCUAGAGAGUGGGAGAGGUCAGCGGUAUUCUGGGGGUAGGGGCGAAAUCCUUUGAUCCCCGGAGGACCACCAGUGGCGAAGGCUGCUGACUAGAACACGUCUGACGGUCAGGGACGAAAGCUGGGGUAGCGAACCGGAUUAGAUACCCGGGUAGUCCCAGCCGUAAACGAUGCAUGCUAGGUGUUGGGUUGGCCACGAGCCACCCCAGUGCCGCAGGGAAGCCGUUAAGCAUGCCGCCUGGGAAGUACGAUCGCAAGAUUGAA
rnacentral:rRNA from 1 species